GACCUGGUGGUGAAUGGUUCACCUCCGCUUUCCUUUCAGAUGCCCUAGCAUGUAAGGUGGGAGUCCCGGUUCGAUUCCAGGCUAGGUCA